rnacentral:rRNA from 1 species
CGGCUCAGUAACACGUGGAUAACCUACCCUCAGAUCUGGGAUAACUCCGGGAAACUGGAGAUAAUACCGGAUAAUCCGUGAACGCUGGAAUGCCUUACGGUUGAAAGCUUUAGCGUCUGAGGAUGGGUCUGCGGCCGAUUAGGUAGUUGCUGGGGUAACGUCCCAACAAGCCGAUAAUCGGUACGGGUUGUGAGAGCAAGAGCCCGGAGAUGGAUUCUGAGACACGAAUCCAGGUCCUACGGGGCGCAGCAGGCGCGAAAACUUUACACUGCGCGAAAGCGCGAUAAGGGGACCUCGAGUGCGUGCGCAAAGCGUACGCUUUUCAGAUGCCUAAAAAGCAUCUGGAAUAAGGGCCGGGCAAGACCGGUGCCAGCCGCCGCGGUAACACCGGCGGCUCAAGUGGUGGCCGCUAUUAUUGGGCUUAAAGGGUCCGUAGCCGGACCAGUUAGUCCCUUGGGAAAUCUUACGGCUUAACCGUAAGGCUGCCAAUGGAUACUGCUGGUCUUGGGACCGGGAGAGGCAAGAGGUACCUCAGGGGUAGGAGUGAAAUCCUGUAAUCCU